CCUACGGGUGGCAGCAGUGAGGAAUAUUGGUCAAUGGGCGAGAGCCUGAACCAGCCAAGUCGCGUGAGGGAGUACUGCCCUAUGGGUUGUAAACCUCUUUUGUCGGGGAGCAAAAGCCGGACGUGUCCGGCUGUGAGAGUACCCGAAGAAAAAGCAUCGGCUAACUCCGUGCCAGCAGCCGCGGUAAUACGGAGGAUGCGAGCGUUAUCCGGAUUUAUUGGGUUUAAAGGGUGCGCAGGCGGAGUUUUAAGUCAGCGGUAAAAUCGUGGGGCUCAACCCCAUCCAGCCGUUGAACCUGGGGAUCUAGAGUGUGCGAGAGGUAGGCGGAAUGCGUGGUGUAGCGGUGAAAUGCAUAGAUAUCACGCAGAACCCCGAUUGCGAAGGCAGCAUACCGGUGCACAACUGACGCUCAGGCACGAAAGCGUGGGUAUCGAACAGGAUUAGAUACCCCUGUAGUC
rnacentral:rRNA from 1 species